rnacentral:lncRNA from 1 species
UUCUCCAUUGACUAAUCUGUUAAUAGUCCUAUCUUUGGGUAAGGUCAACCAUGGAGAAAAUGCUGGAAGAGGUAAGUGGUUUUGUCCUUCAGUUUUUCACCUCUGUUUUAUAAAGAGCUCUGUCAGUUAAGAAUUGGUGGCUCCCUGCUGGAACUUGAACAGACUUCUUCAGCACACCUGUGUCCCCUACACCGGAAAGUCCUUCAAGGUCGGGAGAUCUUCAACCCACAAUGUCCAACAUGGCCCCUGGGGCUGAGUGGCUGCUUAUUAAAUGCCUGUGAUUUGCCA